AUGCCCGUAGGAUCCGAUAAUGACAUAUUGGAUGAUGACGAGGAAGCAAUCUUGUCUAGCGCUAAACCUAGUGAGAUUGAUCCAUUUGACAGUGUCUACUCAAACAUACCAGACAACACUCACAUCCUGAAACUUGCCGAUAAUUGCAAACACCGCAAGGCCAGGAAGUUUGAGUCUGAGACUGACGGUUUCUGCUGUCGCAAUGGC
rnacentral:rRNA from 1 species